UGAGAGCAAAAUGAAUGCCGUGUAAAAAUCGUAUAUUUAACCGGUAUUUCAAAAUCUAUAAUUUGAUUCAUGCGCCAAAUGUCAUUCCACCAUGUGUCGUUAGAAGUAGUGUAGAUGACGCAUACACGCGCACACAACGACACAACGACGCAUCAGUGUGCAUGCCAACCGUGUAAAAUUCGGUCGUUGUUGAGUGUAUGUGUGUGUGCGAAGCCCCAGUAGUGUGCAAAAUUAAAGUUAGACAAAUGUCAAAUUAAGAACAUACUGCAAAAGAACGAAUAGAGCAAGUGAGCGAGCGAGUGAGCGAGCGGGCGAUCAAGCGAGUGAGAAAGAGUGAGAGAAGACGAAAUAGAAGGAAUAAAAAAAAUAACAUUCUUUCUACUGAUAUUUGCUGCGUGCACACAGUGGAACGACACGAAAGAAAAGUACACACGAGGAAGAUAUUACAUUUCACAUCGUGAAUCGAGCACAUUUCGUGGACCGAAUUCGAGUGGCCGUGUGAAAUUUAACAAAAUAAAAAAAAUAAUCAACGUCUAAAUAAAUUGUGUGUUGAACAGGCAAUAGAGUGACUACAACGACGACGACGAAAAAGAUCGAAACAAUGUCACUUCCAAAAAAUUUACAAGAUUGCUACUUUUUCUACUAUUCAGCAUGCCGUAAAGGUACUAGUUGUCCAUAUCGUCAUGAGCCGGCAGCGCUUGGUCAUGAGCGCACUUGUCCCAAGUUUAAAAUAGGCCAAUGUGUGGAUGCGGCAUGUCCAAAUCGUCAUAUGGUCAUCGAGAAAGCACGUAGUAAAAUCCAAUGCUAUUGGGAAUCGAAGCCGUCUGGCUGCUGCAAACCACAUUGUGUGUUCAAGCACACCAAACGCCAGAAUAAUAAUAACAAUGUGACGACAGCAUCUGAAGCCGUUCCACAGCCCAUGGAAACAGAGACUAGCGCCGCUGUUUAAACUUUCGAAGGCCCAGGAUCAGCAGCAAACAUUGUACGCACCCACUCGAAAUUGCAGCAAAAUGUGGUUUCACAUAUCUGAAACCAGCACCACACACAAAUCAACGCAAUGAUGCUGCUGCUAUCACGUUAACUUAGGGGUCUUUCGGAGUGUGUAUGUGUUCUCCACACUCUCAAGAUAAAAACAAAAUCUAUUUAGCCAACGGAAAAACGAAAUCCAAAACUAAAACAAGAACAUGAAUGGAGAAAAAAAAUCUUCAAACCUAUAGAAUAAUAUUCUAAGCUUUUAUUUUGCUAUUGAACGAAAAAUCAGCGCAAGAGCUAGAGCUCUUGACAACUCUCAGAGUUACUAUGAUUAAUGAUGAUAUCAAAUUGUUUUCUUUUUUUUAGUUGUUGAUUAUUUGUUGUCAGCCCAUUAGUGUGAACAGUGUGACGACGGUAUGAUUGAUAGAGUCUCCGACAAAUGAAAGAAACAGUUUUUCCAACUGUUUGGGUCAGAUUCUAUCCGUCAUAUCGAAAUCAAUUAUCCACACAAAAAAAAUGGAACAUAACCUCAGUCAAUCGUUCUUAUUGGAACGAUAAAAAUCGAACACAUUUUUUUUUGAAUUGAUUGAUCAAUCUAUUCUUCUUUUGAGUUACAUACACACACAUCAAUUACCAUUUUUUUUCUCUGCUAAUAGCAUAAUAUUUUUUUUUAAGUGAUGUACAAUUAAAACUGUAGAUAUGUAUACAAUCUUUGAUGUGGUUUUUGUUGCAAGAAGAACAUGAAUGAUUCGGUUCAGGAGGAAAAAACAAACCCAUUCACAAAACUAAACAAGAAAAAAAAGAAGAAAUAAUUAUAUAAAAACAAAGUAUAUAGGUAAUUUUCAGGCAGUGUCACGGUCUCUCACUCAGAGCGAUGACCGACAACAGCUGCAUGUUGCGAAUAAAUUAGAUAAAAUGAACUAAUUAAUUAUGAAAUUUUCAAUGUUGUGCAUUUAAUUGAAGAUAAAAAAAAACCAGAAACUGAAAAAAAAACUGAAACAUUGUAAAAUAAUAUCCACUCUAAAAGCAAAGCAAAGCAACUCUAUAUACAAUGUACGAAAUCGAAAUGGAAUUUACAAGAAUGACUGCCGAACAUUUUGAAUUAGAUCCAAUUGCCUUUGGAAUUAAUUGGAAUUUCGGUAGAAAUUUGCAUUUUUUCACAAUAUUUAUUUGUUGUUUUCUUUAAAAUUUCUUCUUUUCUUUAAAAUUUCUUCUUUUCUUUGUCAAACAUAAUUGUUUUGUUUCUCAAAUCAAAAAUAAUGGGAAUUAAAAUGAAUUUUUUUCGUAUUGCCAUAGGAAAAUAUUUAAAAUUAUGAAGUGAAAAAGCAAUGCGAUUUGUUCUGAAAUCUAUAACUUUAUGCAAAUUUUCUGCUCGAAAUAGUCACACUCUCAGAACCAAUUACGUUUUAAUUCGUUAUUUAAUAAUUUCUUUGAUGUUAGACUUUUAUUUUAUUUUUCUGUUUGAUAAAUUAUCGUCUAAUUUUUGGCAUUCAGAAUUUGUACUCGAUUCAUUCUUCUUUUUAAAAAAAAAAACAUUUCUUUUGUAAGAUUUUCAAGACUUUUCUUCGGUGUGCUUCUGUUCCAUCCACAGAAGUGCCCUUUAAAUAACCACAAAAAGUCUUCCUUAUGCGAACUUUCUAUGAGCAAUGUGUACGGAUUGUCGAUUUUGUGUUUCCUAUUUUCUAUCUCUAACUCGUUUUUCCUUAACCUUGAACCUCAAUUCAAAUACAAAAUUCAAUUUAAAUGAUAGAAAGAGUGAAACAUGUUUGCGUAGAGGACAAUUGCGUCCAAUUUAGAAUUUGAAUUUAACUCUUCGCCGAUUUUUUUUACACACUUGCCACGGGGCGCAAACAACGUGAAUGAUUUAAUUGUAUAAGGUGUAGCGAACUAUUUAAUAAUUACUAAUUUAACAUAAAAAAAAGGAAUAUUUACGUUUUAUUUUUGUCUUUUUGUUUGUUUAAAUUUUUUGAAAUGAUUGAUUAAGGAAAUUUUGAAUGACAAGCGACUGCAAUUAUGAUCGAAUAAAAAUAUGCAAUAAAAAUAAAAGAAACAAAAAAAAAAGAUCCCAAAAA